UACAGAGGUCUCGAGCGUUGUUCGGAUUCAUUGGGCGUAAAGGGUGCGUAGGCGGCGGGGCAAGUCAGGUGUGAAAAUCCCCGGAGCUCAACUCUGGAACUGCAUUUGAUACUGCCUUGCUAGAGUACUGGAGAGGAGACUGGAAUUUACGGUGUAGCAGUGAAAUGCGUAGAUAUCGUAAGGAAGGCCAGUGGCGAAGGCGAGUCCCUGGACGAUACCUGACACUGAGGCACGAAAGCCAAGGGAGCAAACAGG
rnacentral:rRNA from 1 species